AAGGGAGACCUAAUUCGGGUAUAAGACGAAAAAAGAGUAGUCGAAACCAAGAAUCAAUCCCAAAAGGUCGGAACGAGGUAUGUGGCUUUCAAACUAGGUUCUGGGUUCACACAAGACCUGAAUCAGGAACAAGGGCUAUUAGCUCAGGUGGUUAGAGCGCACCCCUGAUAAGGGUGAGGUCCCUGGUUCGAGUCCAGGAUGGCCCACCUGCACAGGUGGCAAAAACAAAGAAGCGAGGAAUCAGCACCUUAUCUUAUCUAUAUAUAAGAGAGAAUGCUGGCUCUGAGUAAAGAGUCCAGAGGAACCUUGAAAACUCUGUGUGCCUAGGUAUCCAGAGGACGGGCGGUGUGUCCAA
rnacentral:tRNA from 1 species